AUUUUGAUGCACCGACGGUGU
rnacentral:miRNA from 1 species